GCGUGGCUGGCUCAGUCCGUAGAGCACGAGACUCUUGAUCUCGGGGUCCUGAGUUCAAGCCCCAUGUUGGGCA
rnacentral:tRNA from 1 species